rnacentral:rRNA from 1 species
AKCGCGGCUANCAUGCAAGUCGAACGGAAAGGCCCUGCUUUUGUGGGGUGCUCGAGUGGCGAACGGUUUUAGUAACACGUGAGUAACCUGCCCUUGACUUUGGGAUAACUUCAGGAAACAGGGGCUAAUACCGGAUAGGAGCUCCUGCUGCAUGGUGGGGGUUGGAAAGUUUCGGCGGUUGGGGAUGGACUCGCGGCUUAUCAGCUUGUUGGUGGGGUAGUGGCUUACCAAGGCUUUGACGGGUAGCCGGCCUGAGAGGGUGACCGGCCACAUUGGGACUGAGAUACGGCCCAGACUCCUACGGGAGGCAGCAGUGGGGAAUAUUGCACAAUGGGCGGAAGCCUGAUGCAGCAACGCCGCGUGCGGGAUGACGGCCUUCGGGUUGUAAACCGCUUUCGCCUGUGACGAAGCGUGAGUGACGGUAAUGGGUAAAGAAGCACCGGCUAACUACGUGCCAGCAGCCGCGGUGAUACGUAGGGUGCGAGCGUUGUCCGGAUUUAUUGGGCGUAAAGGGCUCGUAGGUGGUUGAUCGCGUCGGAAGUGUAAUCUUGGGGCUUAACCCUGAGCGUGCUUUCGAUACGGGUUGACUUGAGGAAGGUAGGGGAGAAUGGAAUUCCUGGUGGAGCGGUGGAAUGCGCAGAUAUCAGGAGGAACACCAGUGGCGAAGGCGGUUCUCUGGGCCUUUCCUGACGCUGAGGAGCGAAAGCGUGGGGAGCGAACAGGCUUAGAUACCCUGGUAGUCCACGCUGUAAACGGUGGGUACUAGGUGUGGGGGUCCAUUCCACGGGUUCCGUGCCGUANCUAACGCC